GUAUAAUAGUAAAAGUUAUUUGCUGGAUGCCGGGUGCCGCGUACUGGUUGCUGGUGCCGGUUAGAGACCUCUGGUGGCGGGCACUGGGAGUGGGGGAAAGUUUAUCUGCAUAAAAAAUAAAAAGGAUAAGCGUAUAAAAAAGACAUGCAAUUUCUCAGGAUUUAUUUUAGUAAAAAGGAACCUUGAAAUGUCUGUAAACCAGAAUCAUAAGUAUCAAGCGGAAAAAGCGCGGACCAGCGAUUAAAUUCAUCCGUGAAAAAACAUCUGAGUGAAAUAGGAAUAUAAAAAGUCGUAUUUUGAGAUUUAUAUCGAACAAUAGUCUUGGAACAUAAAAUUUAUCUACUAAAUUGUAUCUACUAAAAGCUGGUAGCAACCCACAUGAGAGAAUUUAUCACAAGGAUUUAAUACUUUUAUCCGAGUGUAGGGAGCCCUUACUCUUAUGAGCUUUCCU